CCCGGACCGGGGCACGAACCCGCGUCCCCUGCAUCGGCAGGCGGACUCUCAACCACUGCGCCACCAGGGAAGCCCCUCUUACUCUGUUUUUAAAGGGGCUUUAAAAAAAAAUUGAUACAGUGGUUCUCAAAUUGUAGCCACAGACUAACAGCAUUAGCAUUGCCAGGAUCUUGUUAGAAAUGCAAUUUUUCAGGUUUACCCCAGUCUUCCUGAAUCAGAAACUCUGGAGGUGGGUUCUAGUAAACUGUGUUUUAAGGAAUCCAUCAGAUGAUUCUGAUGCAUAUUAAAGCCUGAGAACCAUGGGUCUAGAGAAAUGACUGAUAUCAUUCAAAUGACAAAAACUCUAAUACAGCAACUCUUGGGUAUGUGAGAAUAACCCUAUGCUUGUUUAAGUGCACAGUUCUGAGUGCCUUCCUACAAAGUCUGUCCAGUAGGUCUGAGGUGGGCCCAGAAAUCUCAUUUUAAUAAGUAGGUAAUUCUGAUGCAGGAGGUCCACAGGUGACUCUGAGAACCAUGCUCAUUUGUCAAUUGUUAGUCUCCAGUAUAUUCAACCUCUCAGCAACAUUGGACAUGAUGGACCUCAUCCACCUCCGGUACCACUUUCUACAUUUUGGGACUCUCUCAGUUAUCUUCCUACUUUACUGGCCAAUCAAUCACAAUUUCCUUUACUGAACUUGCCUGUUCUUCCCAGCCUCUAAACAUUAGUGCACUUGAGGCUUAUUCUUUAGACCUCUUCUUUUUUCCAUCCAUGCUCACACCAUAGUGCCAAUGACUCAAAUGUGUAUCUUCAUACAUGUAUAUGAAAAGAUAUCUCCACUUGAAUAUUUUAAUGGCAUCUAAAACCUAAUAUAUCCAACACUCAUCUCUUGGUUUCUACCCUUCAAACCUGCUCCUCCCCUGUUUCCCACCAAUCUUCCCAUCCAAAUAGAUGCCACCACUUCCAAUUUCUUCCUGUUUCCCUCAAGUUUUCUGUCUUUGGAUUCAUCAAAAUUUCUCUGUUGAUCAGAAUUGACUCAAGAGAUAAAGUUCUGGUUGUUGCUUCCUUUGCUCUCAGAGAGGUAAAGUUAUUAGUAAUUCAGGUCAAGAAUUUAUUCAGUGUUCUGAACUUAGAGUCUUAUUUUUAACAUCUUAAAAGAAAAUAUCCCAUUUUAGGCUAGAGAAGAGCAAACGUGGCCUACUGGGGUCAGCAGAGAACAGUGUGUUAAAGAUUUAGACCCAGAGAAGGCACUGGGAGUGAUUAGUUACUAAGCAACUCUCCUAAGCACUUAGAUCACUGAUGUGAUCAGUACUCAGCUCUGCUGUUGGCUGAUGGGAAGUAAGAGGCUAGAGGAGAGUAUUAGAUGAGUGCAGAAGUGCCUCUCAGAGUUGGGACCAAUGGACAGACAUGGCAGCCAUCAUAAGAGACAGCUGCUCCUGUUUGCUCCAUAGGGAUUAUCAAAGUUUCCUGGAGAAUCCAUAAACUACUGAAAUUAUUAUCUUUGUUGACUCCAGCCAGCCUGCUCAAUGGCACACCAUCCAGACUGGACUCUUAGUUAGCUAUCAGUGAAUUCGCUUAUGCUAAAAAUGGACAAAAAGUUUCACUAUUUCCAGACUGCCUAUUAUUAUUAUUUUUUUUGUCCUAUCCCCUUUCUCUUACACAUUCUGUUUUUGCCUUUGGCCCUCGAUAGUCUAAUGUCUGUGGGAAGAAGGCUUACAUAUAAGUAUUGUAGGGGAGCAAAAUUUGCCACCCCUAAAUGUGUCUCUUUGGCAUGAGGAUUAAUUUAAGCUGAUUAUUUUUAAGAAACAGAAGACUCAGGAAGUCUCUCUUCUACAUUCUCCUUGGCUGCCUAAAUAAUUUAGAUAAAGGACCUGUUCCCAGAAUAGAGCUAUCACCAGAGAUAUAAGUGUGGUCGGGGGAGGGGGAGGGAUGGGGACUCAGCUGGACCUAGAGAUCAGAGUCCACUCUGUGUCCCAUAGUCUCUGCAUGGCCCAGCAAACAUUUAUUUACCAAACAUUUACUUUUCUACCUCUAUGUCAAUUACCUUCCUCCUCUUUAAAUUGCCCAAACUACUACCCCCAGCAUCCUCUUUUGUCUUUAGCUGAAGAUGGUACUUAAGGUGAGGAUUUAGGCCAUUUUGGCAAGUUACUCAGUUUUCCUGGAUCUCUCCCAGGUGUUCAUGUUAUUAAACUUUUGUUUGAUUUUCUCUUGUUAUUCUGUUUCAUGUCAAUUUAAUUCUUAAACCAUCCAGAAGAACCUAGAAGGGUAGAGUAAAAUUUCUUCAUUCCCAACAAUAUUGAGAAAGAAGGAACUGAUAAUUGACUUGGGGAAAUUAAAAGCAAUUGGUUUCAACAUUUUGGGCUGCUGCCCACAGUAAGAAAUACAUUUCAUCUCACAAACCAGGAUAUAUCUACUCAUAAUCAGAAAAGCUCAUGAAAUAGCAUUCACUUACCCUUAUCAUAUAAAGGUAUUUUCUCAGAUUUUUUUUCUAUUUUAUUUCAUUAACAGUUUUCUGAUUGUGACCACUAAAGAUUUUACAGUCCACUGACAAAUGGGUUGUGGCUCUGAGUUGAAAAACUCUAAGCUAUAAAAUAUGAAAGAGACAAAAACUUUGAAAGUCCUCCAGGUUUAGUUUGAGUGGUGAGGAAAAUGGGUACCACUAAUUGAUAAAAAUAAAGAAGAAAUUGGAAAGGGGAGUUGAUAAGUUUCCUGUGGCUACUGUAACAAAUGUUAAAGGAAAAUAAAAAUGGAGUUGGUGUUGCUAAGAGAGCUCUCUAAAAUGAGCCAGGAGGCCACUGAGGAGGUGUGACUUGUGUGCAUCUUGGCCUGGAUGAAAUCUGGUCUUUUGAUUCUUGUCCUACUCAGAAUCCUUGUUGGACCGUUACUCUAGGGUGGCUCCUGGCAGCCUGUCUGCUUGUUUGGGCCCUUGCCCUAGAGCAGCUCAUGAUUCCUGGAGGACAGACGUUUCCUGACGUGCAUCAGGGGUGGUCACGGUUCUUUGGCAGCCAUGUGGCUUUAGUCUUUGUGGGCCCUUGACUCUUUCUCUUCCCCAGAACACUCUUUCGGUUUUCCCUGAAUCUGUGUCUCCCAAAUUGCAAUUCCUAAGACCCCAAAUAAAGCUGUUUUUUCUUUGCUGCCUCAA